AAACAAACCUGAGUUCAUCAUGAACUCUUCUAUUUGCAUUCCUCGUUGAGCCAUGAAGGCUCAAAUCACCCUCCCCUGAUGCUGGUCAGCUUCUGGAAAGGUGUACAGGUCUAAAAAAAACAGCAAAUAUGGUGCUGGAAAUUAAAUUUGCAGGUCCUCCGAAACCUGGAAAGGGGCUGUAAAAUGUAUUUGCAGGUGUUGAGGAAGCUGAAUACCAGCUGUAUACAUAUUUUAUACACCAAUAUACAGGUCAAGAAAUGCAUAGGGGAUCAAAUUCGAAGUGAAAGUCAAUAUCAGUAUAGAUAUACUGCUAUUAAAAAUUUUCCAACUUUCAAAAGUCGAAAAACAGGUCAAUAUACCAUCUGUAUACACUGGUAUACAUAUACGUUAUAUGGCAGGUGGGUGUAAAAAUAUGAAAUGCAGGUUCAAUAUGCCAUAUUAAAUAUAUUUUUUUGAAUUUUGUGAGAGGAGA
rnacentral:misc_RNA from 1 species